AUACAGAGGGUGCAAGCGUUAAUCGGAAUUACUGGGCGUAAAGGGCGCGUAGGUGGUUAAUUAAGUCAGAUGUGAAAUCCCCGGGCUUAACCUGGGAAUUGCAUUUGAAACUGAUUGGCUAGAGUACGGGAGAGGGAAGUGGAAUUUCCGGUGUAGCGGUGAAAUGCGUAGAUAUCGGAAGGAACACCAGUGGCGAAGGCGACUUCCUGGCCCGUUACUGACACUGAGGCGCGAAAGCGUGGGGAGC
rnacentral:rRNA from 1 species